rnacentral:rRNA from 1 species
UACGGAAGGCAGCAGUGGGGAAUAUUGCACAAUGGGCGAAAGCCUGAUGCAGCUAUGCCGCGUGUAUGAAGAAGGCCUUAGGGUUGUAAAGUACUUUCAUCGGGGAGGAAAAACAAAACUAAUAAUUUUAUUUCUUGACGUUACCCGAAAAAGAAGCACCGGCUAACUCCGUGCCAGCAGCCGCGGUAAUACGGAGGGUGCUAGCGUUAAUCAGAAUUACUGGGCGUAAAGAGCACGUAGGUGGUUUUUUUAAAGUCAGAUGUGAAAUCCCUGGGCUUAACCUGGAACUGCAUUUUGAAACUGAAAUACUAGAGUAUCGUAGAGGGAGGUAGAAUUCUAGGUGUAGCGGUGAAAUGCGUAGAUAUCUGGAGGAAUACCUGUGGCGAAAGCGGCCUCCUAAACGAAUACUGACACUGAGGGUGCGAAAGCGUGGGGAGCAAACAGGGAUUAGAUACC